rnacentral:rRNA from 1 species
GCAGCGAAAUGCGAUACGUAAUGUGAAUUGCAGAAUUCAGUGAAUCAUCGAAUCUUUGAACGCACCUUGCACUCUUUGGUAUUCCGAAGAGUAUGUCUGUUUGAGUGUCAUGAAACUCUCAACCCCCUUGUUUUGUAAUGAGACAAGCGUGGGCUUGGAUUAUGGCUGCUGCCGGCUUUCAUUAGUCGACUCGGCUGAAAUACACGAGCUACCCCGAUUUCUAUUAGAGAAACAAACGGCUUGACUCGGCGUAAUAACAUAUUUCGCUGAGGACGUUACAUUCUCUAAGUUAUAAAGAAUCUUAGUGGUGCUUCUAAUGCGUCUGUUCAGUCAGACACCUUAAGCUUUAGACCUCAAAUCAGUCAGGACUACCCGCUGAACUUAAGCAUAUCAAUA